UGGGGAAUAUUGCACAAUGGGCGCAAGCCUGAUGCAGCCAUGCCGCGUGUAUGAAGAAGGCCUUCGGGUUGUAAAGUACUUUCAGCGGGGAGGAAGGGAGUAAAGUUAAUACCUUUGCUCAUUGACGUUACCCGCAGAAGAAGCACCGGCUAACUCCGUGCCAGCAGCCGCGGUAAUACGGAGGGUGCAAGCGUUAAUCGGAAUUACUGGGCGUAAAGCGCACGCAGGCGGUUUGUUAAGUCAGAUGUGAAAUCCCCGGGCUCAACCUGGGAACUGCAUCUGAUACUGGCAAGCUUGAGUAUCGUAGAGGGGGGUAGAAUUCCAGGUGUAGCGGUGAAAUGCGUAGAGAUCUGGAGGAAUACCGGUGGCGAAGGCGGCCCACUGGACGAAGACUGACGCUCAGGUGCGAAAGCGUGGGGAGCAAACAGG
rnacentral:rRNA from 1 species